CAGUGCAGUAUUAGUUAUAUAGACCUCGUGGAGUGAACCAGUUGUUCAGUCCACAGUAUAACACGUGCCGGUUUAGAUAAAUAAUAAAUCCGCUGGAAAAUGGAAAAGGCCAUUGGGCCCAAUUCGGCCCAACGCCGAGCGGCGAUGCGGGCCGAGGCCCAUAACGUGGCCUGAGCAGCGGCUGGACCGCGGGUUCAUUUCUGAAGAAUUGGAGGGUUUUUUUGCAAGAAUAUAUGAGAGAGGGAAGUGGACUGCGGGUUGAUUCGUAUAAAGUUGGAGGGCUUUUUUGCAAAACGACCAAGGAGAGCACGAUCUCGCCCGUUCAUGAGCCCGAUCCGAC